GAGCUAUGAUGAUUCAUAGAAAUAGUCUCCACUAUGAUUUAAAGUGUUGAUAACUUUCUCAUACCCAUUAUUUUCAUGAGCC